GGGUGUUCGGCCACACUGGGACUGAGAUACGGCCCAGACUCCUACGGGAGGCAGCAGUAGGGAAUAUUGCGCAAUGGACGAAAGUCUGACGCAGCAACGCCGCGUGGGUGAUGAAGUUUUUCGGAACGUAAAACCCUGUCGGGAGGGAAGAAACUCUCAAUUUUUAUUGGGACUGACGGUACCUCCAGAGGAAGCUCCGGCCAACUCCGUGCCAGCAGCCGCGGUAACACGGGGGGAGCAAGCGUUGUUCGGAUUCACUGGGCGUAAAGGGCGUGUAGGCGGAUGGGUCAGUCAGAUGUGAAAUCUCAAGGCUUAACCUUGGGCCUGCAUUUGAUACUGCUCAUCUAGAGUAUGGGAGAGGAGAUCGGAAUUCCUGGUGUAGCGGUGAAAUGCGUAGAUAUCAGGAAGAACACCGGUGGCGAAGGCGGAUCUCUGGCCUAAUACUGACGCUGAGGCGCGAAAGCUGGGGGAGCAAACAGGAUUAGAUACCCUGGUAGUCCCAGCCGUAAACGAUGGGCACUAGGUGUUGGAGGUAUUGAUCCCUUCAGUGCCGGAGCUAACGCAUUAAGUGCCCCGCCUGGGGAGUACGCUCGCAAGGGUGAAACUCAAAGGAAUUGACGGGGGCCCGCACAAGCGGUGGAGCAUGUGGUUUAAUUCGAUGCAACGCGAAGAACCUUACCGGGGUUUGACAUGCCCGUCGCACCUUGAUGAAAGUCGAGGGUCAGUUCGGCUGGACGGUGCACAGGUGCUGCAUGGCUGUCGUCAGCUCGUGUCGUGAGAUGUUGGGUUAAGUCCCGCAACGAGCGCAACCCUUACCCUUAGUUGCCAGCACAUAAUGGUGGGAACUCUAAGGGGACUGCCCCGGAUAACGGGGAGGAAGGUGGGGAUGACGUCAAGUCCUCAUGGCCCUUAUACCCCGGGCUACACACGUGCUACAAUGGCCGGUACAGAGGGCAUCGCGAAACCGCGAGGUGGAGCAAAUCCCAGAAAACCGGUCUCAGUUCGGAUUGGAGUCUGCAACUCGACUCCAUGAAGUCGGAAUCGCUAGUAAUCGCGAAUCAGCAGGUCGCGGUGAAUACGUUCCCGGGCCUUGUACACACCGCCCGUCAAGCGAUGGAAGCCGGUGGUACCCGAAGUCAGUAUCCUAACUUUUCGGAGAGGGAGCUGCCGAAGGUAAAACUGGUGACUGGCGCUAAGUCGUAACAAGGUA
rnacentral:rRNA from 1 species